GUUUCGUGAGAGGAACAGGUACAGCGGGUUGACGCGCUUCCGGCCGCAGGUGAGAGAGUCGCAGUCAUGAGCGCGCGGAUCGACGGCGUCUGCCUCGCGCUCUUCGCCUGGACGCUGAGGUCUUGAUCGUUCGGGAUCGCGAAUAAUAACACCGACAGCUCCGGUUAUCAGAGCGCUUUCUCAGGAUCUCAAACUCGGAAGUCAAAUAAUUUGCGAAGAACUGAAACUAAAGUCCCAUAUAAAGCAAGUAUCGGAUGACAGUAUGACACGCGUGAGGGAUGCGAGACUGAGGCUAAAGUUCCCUUCCAAAAUGUAAAAGGAUGCCCGCUGUUUAGUCCCGGUUAACCAGUCUGUGUUUGUUUUCACAUGUGCGUGUGCGGAGCAUCAUGAGUUCGGUGAGCGCGUCGGGCCUGUUGAUGCCGGUGGUCUUUCUGCUGGCUCUGGCCUUGGUUCUGUUCUCGUGCGUCCUCCGUAAGAGUCGGCAGAUGGA